rnacentral:rRNA from 1 species
GAUGCGACCUCAGCUCAGGCGGGGCUACCCGCUGAGUUUAAGCAUAUCAAUAAGCGGAGGAAAA